rnacentral:rRNA from 1 species
AACGAACGCUGGCGGCAGGCCUAACACAUGCAAGUCGAGCGCCCUUUCGGGGGAGCGGCGGACGGGUGAGUAACGCGUGGGGAUAUGCUCUUCUCUACGGAAUAGCCCCGGGAAACUGAGAGUAAUACCGUAUACGCCCUAUGGGGGAAAGAGUUAUCGGGGAAGGAUUAGUCCGCGUUGGAUUAGGUAGUUUGUGGGGUAAUGGCCUACCAAGCCGACGAUCCAUAGCUGGUUUGAGAGGAUGAUCAGCCACACUGGGACUGAGAAACGGCCCAGACUCCUACGGGAGGCAGCAGUGGGGAAUCUUAGAAAAUGGGGGCAACCCUGAUCUAGCCAUGCCGCGUGAGUGAUGAAGGCCUUAGGGUUGUAAAGCUCUUUCAGCUGGGAAGAUAAUGACGGUACCAGCAGAAGAAGCCCCGGCUAACUCCGUG